CCUACGGGUGGCAGCAGUCGAGAAUCAUUCACAAUGGGGGAAACCCUGAUGGUGCGACGCCGCGUGGGGGAAUGAAGGUCUUCGGAUUGUAAACCCCUGUCAUGUGGGAGCAAAUUAAAAAGAUAGUACCACAAGAGGAAGAGACGGCUAACUCUGUGCCAGCAGCCGCGGUAAUACAGAGGUCUCAAGCGUUGUUCGGAAUCACUGGGCGUCAAGCGUGCGUAGGCUGUUGCGUAAGUCGUGUGUGAAAGGCGCGGGCUCAACCCGCGGACGGCACAUGAUACUGCGAGACUAGAGUAAUGGAGGGGGAACCGGAAGUCUCGGUGUAGCAGUGAAAUGCGUAGAUAUCGAGAGGAACACUCGUGGCGAAGGCGGGUUCCUGGACAUUAACUGACGCUGAGGCACGAAGGCCAGGGGAGCGAAAGGGAUUAGAUACCCGAGUAGUC
rnacentral:rRNA from 1 species